rnacentral:rRNA from 1 species
AUAUUGGACAAUGGGCGAAAGCCUGAUCCAGCCAUGCCGCUUGUGUGUAGAAGGUCUUCGGAUUGAAAAGUACUGUAAGUUGGGAGAAAGGGUUGUAGGUUAAUACGCUGCAAUAUUGACGUUACCAGCAGAAUAAGCACCGGCUCACUUCGUGCCAGCAGCCGCGGUAAUACGAAUGGUGCAAGCGUUAAUCGGAAUUACUGGGCGUAAAGCGAGCGUAGGUGGUUCGUUAAGUUGGAAGUGAAAGCCACGGGCUUAACCUGGGAAUUGCUUUCACAACUGACGAGCUAGAGUACGGUAGAGGGUAGUGGAAUUUCCUGUGUAGCGGUGAAAUGCGUAGAUAUAGGAAGGAACAUCAGUGGCGAAGGCGACUACCUGGACUGAUACUGACACUGAGGUGCGAAAGCGUGGGGAGCAAACAGG